CAGAGUUAAUAAACUCCUAAACCCUUGUGAAUCUAUUCAAGUUAUUGUUCCUUUGGCAGGUGAUCUCUGGGAGAGGUCUGUGGCCGGUCACGGCGCCUGCCAGAGGGAUGCAAACUCACUGUAACUUUUGUUGUCUGAGCUUCUAUACAAUAAAGUUA
rnacentral:misc_RNA from 1 species